GAUGAACGCUGGCGGCGUGCUUAACACAUGCAAGUCGAACGAAGCACUUUAUUUGAUUUCCUUCGGGACUGAUUAUUUUGUGACUGAGUGGCGGACGGGUGAGUAACGCGUGGGUAACCUGCCUUGUACAGGGGGAUAACAGUUGGAAACGGCUGCUAAUACCGCAUAAGCGCACGGCAUCGCAUGAUGCAGUGUGAAAAACUCCGGUGGUAUAAGAUGGACCCGCGUUGGAUUAGCUAGUGGGUGAGGUAACGGCCCACCAAGGCGACGAUCCAUAGCCGUCCUGAGAGGGUGACCGGCCACAUUGGGACUGAGCCACGGCCCAAACUCCUCCGGGAGGCAGCAGUGGGGAAUAUUGCACACUGGGCGAAAGCCUGAUGCAGCGACGCCGCGUGAGCGAAGAAGUAUUUCGGUAUGUAAAGCUCUAUCAGCAGGGAAGAUAAUGACGGUACCUGACUAAGAAGCACCGGCUAAAUACGU
rnacentral:rRNA from 1 species